rnacentral:misc_RNA from 1 species
AACACUAUGCAUCAAGCGACUGAGUUUAUUUGUGUUUAUACCUUUGUGAAUACAAAUAAAUGAUGCUGUGCUAUGAGAUUAGCGCCGAUCACUUUAUAUUCUUUACAAAUACUACUCUGUGUUUCAGCACCAAAUGUGUUCAUAGUUGAUGAAGAAGGUAGAACUGUCUCCGACAUGAUAGGCCCUCUUGAUGAAGGUUCGCGUCUUUCACUGUUUUGUGAAACGAGUGGAGGUAUUCCCUCUAUUGUCACUUGGUGGCGAGAUUCAUUCCUGCUUGAUGAUAGCUUUGUUACUAUGCCUAGAGGAGUUGUUCGAAAUGAACUGACUUUGGCAUAUUUGGACAGGAGAGAUUUGAUGUCAACUCUCACGUGCCAAGCUUCUCUUCCGAAUGCAACUGAACCAUCGAAAACAUCAAUUAGUUUAGAUUUGAACUUAAAGCCACUAAAUGUCCAUAUAACAACACUCCAACGUCCACUGUCUGCUGGUAGGUGGACCGUAAUGAAGUGCCAAUCAAGUGGUUCAAGGCCUCCUGCUAUCAUAACUUGGUGGAUUGGGAGCAGACAGCUUUUAAAUGUUUCAGAGACAAUUUAUGAUACCACUACAAUCAGCAAACUUAUGUAUGUGCCUACUGCUGAUGAUCACAAUCGUGUUUUGUCAUGCAGAGCAACAAAUCCGGUCAUGGAUGGGAAUAUAUUAGAAGAUCAUCGUGUCCUAAAUAUACAUUAUGUUCCGUCAUUAUCAGUAACAGUUGGAGCACCUCAUGCAUACAUUAUGGAAGGGGAUAUUGUUUAUUUUGACUGUAACAUAGAUGCUAAUCCUCCUGCAACAGAAGUUGGAUGGCGAUUUGGUGAUGACCCCAUUUAUACUGAUGUUAACACCGGUAUCAAAGUACAGAAUAGGUCACUCCUUUUACAUCAAAUAAAUAGAAAACAGUCUGGAAAUUAUUCUUGCAUUGCUGCCAAUUCUGAAGGAGAAGGCAUAAGUGAUAGUGUUGUGAUUAAUGUUCAAUAUGUUCCUUAUUGCACUGCUAAUCAACGAGUUUCAUACGGAGUUGCUCUUCGUGAUUCUGUGGAUAUUGUAUGUGAAGUGGAAGCAUUUCCUGAAUAUGUGAAGUUUCAGUGGUAUUUAAACAACACACUUCGACAAAUUCCACUGAAGAAUUUUAUAGUCAAUGGCACCGUAAGCAUUUUGCAGUAUGUUCCAAAACGAGAAAGUGAUUAUGGUCAUUUAAUGUGCCUUGCAGAGAAUGGUGCUGGGUUACAAAAAGAAGCUUGCUGUUUCAAAAUAUCUCCAGCAUCUGUUCCUAGUCCUGUAGAAAACUGUAUCGUAAGUAAUGAGACCCUUAGUUCAGCAUUUGUAAGUUGCAGUCCUGGAUAUGAUGGAGGACUUUCACAAGAAUUCCAUAUAGAGUUGUAUAGCUCUAAAGGCUUGGUGGCUACAUCUAAAGAGAAAAGUUUACCCGAGUUUCAGAUAAAUGAGUUGCCUCAGGGUACUUCAUUUAUUGCUGUUGUGUUUGCUACUAAUGAUUUGGGUAGAAGCAAUGCUGUUGCUUUUAGUGUUGUAACAAAAUCUGAUGCAGUACCUGACAAAGAUGCAAUACUUAUACCAAUCAGUCCAGCAUUGGGUGCAUUGAUAGCUGUCAUUGGAAUCCUAGUAUCUGUUGCAGUAUUUAUUAUCUUGUGUUCAAAGCGUUGGUCAACCAAAUUAGGAGAGGAUGUUCAAGAAACUCCAGCUGCAUGGGAAGAAGGAGAACUCAAACCUGGUCAUCAGCACAUUUAAGAAAGAUUCACUUCACUACUUAGCCACCAUAUGUGUUCAAAAAUCAGAUUUUAUAAUGCAAUAUUUUUAUCAUGUAAUAUUUUUGAAUAUUAGUUGAUUUGCUAGACAUAACAUGCAAUUGUUUAUUUGCUAGAAGUCAAGCAAAAGUAAACUUAUUAUAAAGGGGAGAUUAGGCCACUUUAUGCAAUAACUGAUGACCUAUUGAUUCCACAUGCUUGUUCUACAUUACCUUUUUGAUGCUGUGCAUCUCUUAAUGGAUUAUAUUCAGACAUGAUCAUCAGUUGUCAAUUGAUAUCCAGUUUGCAUUAUGAAUUCUAGCACAUGCUGAGGGAUGAAUCUUAGAAUGGAAUUUAAAAAAGGAUCUGGCAACAGUAACAACAAAAAAUUACUGAUUCUUACUAGGGCAUACUUUCUCGCAUGCACUGUCAUGAAUUUGAAAUUUUGAUGUUACUGGAAACUCUUAAUACCUCACAUUUGCAUUUACAUCAGUUUGGGUCAAGUUCAACAUUUUUCAGUAAUAAUUGGAAAAUAUUUCCAAUCUUAAAUUUACUUCAGCUUUAUCAAGAUCCUUGUAUUCUAGUCAGUUUUAGUGUGAAUGAAAAUAAAUGCUCUUAUAUUAUUAUUAAGCAAGACUUGGUGACAUUUUACCAUGCUCGUGUCAACUACCUGUAUAUGUUAUCCAGUUUCUCUAACUGUUAACCAAGAACAAACAGAUUUAGUGAUCAUACACAAUGGAAUGCCAUUUAUUAGUAAUCAGUUUGCACAGAAGUUUUUGUUAAGUGCUUAAAUACAUUAUUCUCUGCUAUUAGCUGCUUCAUAUCUGUAAGAAAGAUUAAAGUUUCAAGUGAUGAAGAAAAUGCUAUUUUCUAAUGCAGAAAGAGAUUUCUUAAUGAAAUAAGUAAUUUUAUCAAAUGCAUGCUGUCUGAGUGUAGGUUAUGGAAAGUAUAGUAUGGACAUAGUAUUUACACUGUGGUGUGGUUCAAAUCUAAUCUGAUCAAUUUUGAAGAAAAAAUUGUUAAUGGUUUUGUAAUGUGUUCCAAACAUAAAUGCAUAUUUGGAGACUUCUAAUUUAAUAUUUCAUAAAGAUUUUUUUUAUAAAUUAGUUGAUCACUCUAAAUAGAAUAAUUAUAAAAUGCAAAACAAUAUUCUAGCUUUCAGUAACUUCUGAAACAAUAUUUUAAUAUUGAAAUAAAAAGAAGGUACUUAAUGCAAACUUUUCAUUAAGAAAAUUAUAAAGUAUAUGAUAAAUGGAAAUAAAUAUAUCUAUUGGUUUCACUGUUGUCUUAAUCACAUUAAAAAAUUUCAGUGAUAAUGAUUCAUGUUAGAAUAUGAUGCUAUACUAACAUUCAAAAAGAUCUGAAAUAAAAUAUUUAUAAAAUAUUAAACUAAAAUUAUGUCAUAAGCCACCCCUUGAAAAAAGUACCAUCAGGGGAGGAGAGGAAAAGAAUUAGACUUUUGGAAAUGCUGAGUGCAAAAGACUUGAUCCUGUAUAGGAAUUUAACUCGUUUGAGUUCUGGAAUACCUUUUUUAUCACUUAAACAUUGUUAUAAUUUUUUUUAAUUUUUAUAUCAUGCAUUUUGACAUGUAAAAUUUGAGAAAAUGUGAUCAUUUGUUGUAUUUUUUCAAUUAAAUACUUAAUAAAAGCUACAUUUAUGAUUAAGUAUUGUAUGUAAUCUUGGAUCAAUAAUGUAGUAUGAUGCUUCAAAGAUAAGUUUCUGUGUUUAUGUGUAUAUUAUUGAAUAUGACAUUAUAUUACUAUAUAUUCUCUAAAUAGUACAAAUUCAUUGUGUAUUUUUUAUGAUAUACUUUGAUUUCAAGAAUGUAUCAUGGACAAUGACUUCAUCGUAUAUAAUAUGUUAUAUGAUAUGCUGUGUUCAAACUGUGGGAGAAGGGAAUAACAGAUUGCCCCUGCAUUUUUUAUUCAGGUUGAUUAAUUUAAAAAAAUGUUAAACUGUAUUUUUAUUGCCUAAUAAGAUUGCUAAUAAUGUGUCUGUUUAUUUAUAACAUAUCUUAAAUGUACAUUUUGUAGUACAUUUGUUUCAUUCAGGCUCCAGUUCCACAUGGAACCAUUUAGCUGCAGUCUUUCUGUUUUUAUUUAUCAAUUUAACCCUCUCAGCGUUACGGCCGGAAAAUUCCGCAUAGAAGGCUGCCUUCUAUAUUCAUUAUACAUGAAAAUCUCUGCUACUUUUUAAUGUAUCUGAUUUCGGUUUGGAUGUAUAUUGGAAGAAAAGGAAUCAAUAAUGUAGUAUGAUGUAGUAUAAAAUCAGAGAGUCAUUUUUUAAUUAAAAUCAAGAAAAUACCACUUAUUCAUGACAUUUUGAGGAACUUUGAAAUUUCAGGGAUAAACCCGUAAUGUUCGGACGGUUAAAAUUAUUCUAUGAGAUUGGUACCUCUCCAAAGACAAGAGCAACAACAUGAAGUAAGAUACACCUGUAAAAUCAGAAAUAAUUCCAUUAGUUGUAGCUAAACCUUGCUUCGAACACAUGGGCAGACUAUGGAUCUCUUGAUGAUAGAAACUAGUGGAACAUGAACCAAAGAAAUUAUCCAGUGUAUGCUUCACUUUGUUGAUGAACCAUUAUCCUUACAGAUUUGGUUAUUUAACAAAUGAUAGCUGCCUACCCUGAAAUUUGAAAAAUCAGGAGUUCAACCGCCAGAAAGCAGAAGUUUCCAGAAAAUUUUCAUGCUACACGGCAGCACCAUUUUAAAAGAAUGCAAAAUUGAUUUAAAUUUAUUUUAUAAUGCACGAUAAAUUAAAUUUUAAUUUAAAUUUGCUUUAUAAUGCACAGUUUAUUCAACUAUAAUGAUUGUCACCUUAAAAUUUGUUAAUAUUAAAUUACAUAUUCUAAAUUUUUUGUUUUUGUCUAAUGGUAUUUUGUAAUUUUCUUAAGCUUUUAUAUUGAGAAGAUUCAGAGUAGGGAGAGAAAGCUUUAAUUUAUCAAAACACUUAUAAAUAUGGUAAAAGUACAAUUAACAAUUAAUGUACAUAUUGUUGUGUGGAUAAACUUAGUAAUGAACCAUAUAUUUGUAAGAUAUUAUCUCUCUCCUUACUACAUGCUUUUGUGGCAUAAUUGGAAACACAUCCAACUAACAAUUAGGAUGUCCAAACCUUGAAUUUCGGUGAGGGUAUUGCACAUUUUUUAAAGUUCCUGCCUCUAAAAAAAUUUUAAAAAUUGCUCUGCAGUGGAAUCCAUCUACAGUACAUUAAAGCAAUUAAGAUCAAAUAAAAUUUAGUAAGAAAAAUUAUGCUGAAGGUCAUUAAGGAUGGAUUUGGGGGGGGGAUGAAAUUCGGACAAAUUAGGCUUUUAAUGAAACUUAAAAUGUGCAAAAUGUAUUGCUGAAAAACACUUUCUUUAGUAAAGGUUAAAAAUUAGAAACCAGGAGCUGUAUUGAAAAACUAGGAGAACUGGCAGCUAUGCAAAUGUAACAAAUGCCAAUUCAAUGAUGUAAUGUCCAGGGAAUCGAAUCCCAGAAGGCAUGAUUUUUUUUAAGUAUACAGAGUGUGUGCAGCAAGGAAGCAUUCAAAAUGUACAGUGAGCUGUUGUAGGGAAAGAAGGUGGGACACUUUCAAGAUCAUGGAUGCUCCUAGCAAUAUAAGCAGUGUCCCAACCCAAAAUUUCCAGAUUUGUGUAAUGUAGACUCAUUAUCUUUCAUCUAGGAAAAACAUACCAUUCAGAUAAAGCAUAAAUUUAAAACUUUUAGAUUAUUAGAAAAGUCAGGCAUAAGCUGAGGUUUUUUUCAAACUAAGAGAUGGAGAGUAGAAACAUCCAGUAUUGACAAAACUGAUUAUUAUUAUUAUGGUUACCUCUUAAUUUGCUUGCUUGCUUGCUUUGUUAAAAAUUCAUUUAAUUAUAUGGCUGACAUUAUACAGAUUAAGAACAUCCUUGAAUAUUAAUACCCCAGAUCAGGGGUUCUCAACCGGUGGUUCGCAAGAGAGAUCUAUAGGUGGUGCAAAGUAUUUUUAACUACUAAAUUCAAAAAUUAAAACCCUAUCACCCUGAUUGAGAUUUUUUCUCUAACACUUAUAAAUUUAUGCGAUCUGAGCUUUGUUUAAGAGUGGUGGUGGUAAUAAUACUUUGUAGUGGUGGUACUAAAGAUUUUCGAUUUUUGUUUAGAUGGUACACAUUAGUCAAAAGGUUGAGAACUGCUGCCCUAGAUGUUAUGUGAUUUUUAAAAAUAGUAUUCAUCUUCAAUAGAAGUGAAGGUUUUGGAUUGUAAAAUCCUACUGAAGAUCCUAUUGGUAAAAUUUAGUGAAUAACUGAACAGCUUAAUUUUUUUUUUUACACUCAAUGAACCAUUUUGAUCGAACAGUUCCUUAUCUCCAACACCUGUUAAAAUUAUGUUUAAUGUGAUAUUUAACUGAAAAACGCCAAAAUUUAUUUCUAAUUUAACUUUGUUGGCAAAGAAAACUAUCAUUGCAACAGUUCCCAAAAACUUAUAGUCAGUGUUAUGAAAUAUAAAUUAAUGUUUUACUAUAUUAAAAAAGUUACCACUUUUUUGCUUGAUGAAAUUUUUUUAAAUAUCUAAGUAUGCAUAUAUAUAUGUAUUUGACUUUAAUAAUCUGCAUUAUUUAAAAUUAAAAUGGAUUUUUGCACCACUGUAGUUUUCAGGAUUUUUGAAAUGGGGUUGCAAUCAUAACUCCGUAAAUGGUAUUGUUAGUAUAUGUGAUAAAAUAUGAAUAGCAAAUUGCUUAAAAUAUUUCAGCUUUACUGAUAAAACAUACACAAAUUCAGUGCUUAUUAUGCCAAUUUGUUUUUGGUAAGAGUUUUUCCCUGUGUAUAACACAAAAAAGUUUUGUUCAUUAUAAUUUAUCAAGUUAAUAACCUUUUAUCUUAUUACUUUAAUGAAGAAAAAAAGGCCAUGAUUUUUACCAAACAGUUAAUUGCUUAGAUUAUAUUUAUAGUGGCAUAUGCUGUAACAUUAAAAAAAAAAAAAAAAAGUAAACCUGAUAUUAUGAAAUGUUUCAUAUCAGGUUUUCUUUUUCUCAGAUGUUAUUGAAGUGAAUAAUAAUUAUAAAAUUUGAUAUAGAAUGGGAAGUUUUGAAAAUUAUUAAAGCACUGAUAUGACAGGGAAAAAAAUUCUCUUUAAAAUAAAAUUUUUGAGAAAACAAUUCCCGUUAAACGAGCAAAUAUUUUAUAAUUUAAUGACUAAUUAAAGCUGCGUUAUGCCUUCUUCAUUCAUCAACAAAAUCUCAGUUUUUUUUUUUCUGGCAGUUUGCAAUAAAUGAAAAUAAAACAAGACAUCAGUUACAGUCUUCAUUCACGAAUGGAUUUCUUCUGAAGAAAGGAAUGGAUCCUUUUCCUGAUAAGACUGUGAAACAAAUAUGCUUUUGUCAUUGUCAAGUAGACACAAACCAUUGUCUCAUCAUUUUCAAAGCUGAUAGAAAUGAAUGACUUAAUGCAGUGCAAUUGAAUAUUUCUCACAACUGUUUACACGUUUGACCAUUAUCAACUGCAUUCAAUUCUCUGUGUGUAAGGCCCAUGUGGGCAUCUCAUAUAUGAUGAGUCUAUGAUGAAUUAAUCUCCACUCUUGUUAAGCAACUAUUAGAUCUCUUUUGUUUUAGUUUAAACUCAAAAACUGCAGGUGCUUGUGUCAAGUUGUUUGUAAUUUUCAUGUUUAAUUAACUCCUAUGGACAUACUUGUUGGGAUCACAAUCAGCAAGCUGCAUGAAGAAACACUUAUUAAGCAAGUUAUCUUUAUUUUAUUUGCUUUACCUUAGGAAUGAAAGAUGUAAGGUGUGUACACGCGGUGCUGCCUGUAUAAAAUAUGACAGAAUUUAUGCUUUUAAAGGCAUUCUUUCUAAAAUAAAUAGCCAUUAAGUAAAUAGCACUUAUGUGCAAUAUGAAAAUAAUGUAAUUAUGAAUUAACAUAAUUUUUCAUGGAAACAUUUACACCUAUUAAGUCAGUAGAUUUUGUUGCAUUCUUCCUUUCUUUUGAUAUAACACUUAACGUUGGACUGAAACAAAGCAAUAAAAUGUGUAAUGCUUUGUGAUUUCUCGGCUGUAAAUAUAUUUUGGUGGUGAUUACAAUGGAAGACGGAUGAAAAUCUGUAUGAUUAUAUCCCUGCCCUCAAAAUGCAAAUUCUUGGUGUCCAGACAGCAAAGUCUGAUCUUAGGAGGAAAGGUUAGAACUUGCUCAAUUUACAAAAACAAUAUUAGACUUUACAUGUAAAAUUGCAUUCUGUAAUAAAUUUAGUUUAGAAAAUGAAAUCCAAAAGUAUUUUCAAAUUGCUACAACUAGAAUUAAUAUUAAUUUUUUAGUUUUCCUUUGCAUUAAAAAUCCAUACAUUGGAUUAUUCAUAUAUCUAAUAUACACCUAUCUCAUUGAGACAAAAGAUUUGUUGAUCUUUAAAGUAGAAUAAAAAAUUCAGAAAUAUCUUUUCUCCCCUUCUCCCAGGCACUGCUUUUUCUAUUGUAACAAUGUAUUUAUCACGUGUAAUGGAUAAUCUCUUAAAAGAAGGAAAAAUAAUUUUUAAAUUUAUUACUUUCAGUAUGUGAGAUUUAUUUGAUAUCAAAUAUUACCGUUUUAGUUAUGAUAUUUAUUUUAUAUACAUUGAUUUGCAGUGGUAGUUAUCUGUGAUAUAUUGGUCUAUGUGAAAGACCAAUUUCAUCUCAUUUACUAUGAUAUGAUUUUUGUAUUUCAUUUGUAGUGAUCUGUGAUACAUUGCUAUAUAAAAAAAAUUAUACAAAUGA